GGCCCAUUAGCUCAAUUGGUUAGAGCGUCGUGCAUUCGCACACAUAAACUGGCUCUCGGAGGUUCCAGGUUCGAUUCACGGAGGUUACAGGUUCGAUACCUGUAUGGGCCA
rnacentral:tRNA from 1 species